GCCGUUUAUCGUCCAGGACCCACAUCCUCCUACCUCACCCAGGGCUACUGCCCAGCGCCUGAUGAGGAAAGCCACAAUUGCACUCACAGAGGAUGAGAAAGAGGCAAAAAGCAGAGAUUCUGGAACCACAUGAAGUAGGAUUUGAAAAUCUGUUCCUUUUCUUACAGGAGUGGCCAUAUAAAUUAUCCAAAGCAGGACACUUCUGAGAGUAAAAGGGAAAUUAAUAAUUAUUCCCAGGCAAUAGACAUAAACUGAGACUGUCCCAGGCAAACUGGAUGUGGGAUCAUUGUAGCAGAUGCUGAUGGUGACCUUAGUUCUCUGGUGCUGAGAGCUGCUUACCGCAAGCACCUGUGGAGCAUGAGCAGCCUGAGCACAGGACAAGCAGGAAGGGUGGAGGGUUAAUGUCCCUGAAGCAGCAUCAACCAAUGGCAGAUAAGGGAUCUAUAUAUGAACACCGUAGUGUUCUUGCCUCUAGGAUGGAAUAGUAACUCUUAAGAGUGUUCUGCUCUAUCUCCGAGAGUUCCCCAGCAAGACAGAGCCCCAAUUGCUCAUCAUGCACUUGGGCAAACAGCUGAUAGGAGUUCAUUUUGUGAAGCUGUCACGAGUUUUCCAGUAGACCAUGAGCUUGCUGAUGGCAGGAGCCUGCCUGUCCUUGAUCCUUGUUUCUGUGGGGUCUAUCCCAGUGCCUGGCACAGUGGCUUUGGAGAUGGAAGGAAUAGAGGGAGCCCAACAUCAAGGUGGAGCCUGUUGUUGUUCAUAUCCGGUGGAUGGAGAAACUAAGGAAACAGAUGCUUUGAGAGUCUAACUCUCCCAAAUGCACACAGCCAUUGUGUGAGAAGCCAGCACCUGACUCCAGAACAGUGUCUCUCCCAAGCUCUCACUCUGCAGGUCCGUGAUCCAGACUCAAAGUAAUUGGGAUCAUGUGGGACACCUGGAAGUCACAACUCCCUAUGAUUUGGAUGCAGAUCCCACCUCUCUGGAUCCUGCCCAUCUGUAGAUAGCAAUUGUACUUCUCUAGAAGAAGGUUCCAGUUCUCAUCCCUG
rnacentral:lncRNA from 1 species